GAUGAACGCUAGCUACAGGCUUAACACAUGCAAGUCGAGGGGCAGCAUGAACUUAGCUUGCUAAGUUUGAUGGCGACCGGCGCACGGGUGAGUAACACGUAUCCAACCUGCCGAUGACUCGGGGAUAGCCUUUCGAAAGAAAGAUUAAUACCCGAUGGCAUAGUUCUUCCGCAUGGUGGAACUAUUAAAGAAUUUCGGUCAUCGAUGGGGAUGCGUUCCAUUAGGUUGUUGGCGGGGUAACGGCCCACCAAGCCUUCGAUGGAUAGGGGUUCUGAGAGGAAGGUCCCCCACAUUGGAACUGAGACACGGUCCAAACUCCUACGGGAGGCAGCAGUGAGGAAUAUUGGUCAAUGGACGAGAGUCUGAACCAGCCAAGUAGCGUGAAGGAUGACUGCCCUAUGGGUUGUAAACUUCUUUUAUACGGGAAUAAAGUGAGGCACGUGUGCCUUUUGUAUGUACCGUAUGAAUAAGGAUCGGCUAACUCCGUG
rnacentral:rRNA from 1 species